GACGAACGCUGGCGGCAUGCCUAACACAUGCAAGUCGAACGAGACCUUCGGGUCUAGUGGCGCACGGGUGCGUAACGCGUGGGAUCCUGCCCUUAGGUUCGGAAUAACUCCCCGAAAGGGGUGCUAAUACCGGAUAAUGUCUUCGGACCAAAGAUUUAUCGCCUUUGGAUGGGCCCGCGUUGGAUUAGCUAGUUGGUAGGGUAAAAGCCUACCAAGGCGACGAUCCAUAGCUGGUCUGAGAGGAUGAUCAGCCACACUGGGACUGAGACACGGCCCAGACUCCUACGGGAGGCAGCAGUGGGGAAUAUUGGACAAUGGGCGAAAGCCUGAUCCAGCAAUGCCGCGUGAGUGAUGAAGGCCUUAGGGUUGUAAAGCUCUUUUACCCGGGAUGAUAAUGACAGUACCGGGAGAAUAAGCUCCGGCUAACUCCGUG
rnacentral:rRNA from 1 species